rnacentral:tRNA from 1 species
GCCCCCUUAGCUCAGUGGUAGAGCGUCCGUCUUGUAAACGGAAGGCCAUCGGUUCAAUCCCGAUAGGGGGCUCCA